GUUCCUCGAUCCAUUAUCCAUAUAUUCCCCGUCUCCUCUUUUCCCACUGAGUCACCAUUACACUGUCGCCGCCGCUACCCCGCCGGCCGACGAGAUGAGAGCCGCCACUGCGGCCUCCUUCCGUCUGGCUCCCGCCACGAACCCGCCCCAUCGCCGCGCCUCCGCCACCUCCUCCUGUUCCCUGAAACCCGCCCCGAUUGCUCAGCCAUCUCGCGUCUUCACGCUCGCCCGCCGCGCGCCUGUCGCCCGCGCCUCUCUUGGGGUAUCUCAUGAUAAAGGCUCCGAGGUCUCUGGCGCCGAUGUUGUUAGCCAGAAUGAUCUACUGAUUGUGGGCCCUGGCGUGCUUGGACGAAUUGUAGCUGAGAAGUGGCAAAAGGAGCAUCCGGGUUGCAAAGUUUAUGGCCAGACUGCAAGCACAAAUCAUCAUAGCGAGUUAACAGAUCUUGGUAUCAUCCCCUCAUUGAAGGGCUCCACUAUUUCUCAGAAGGUUCCGCAUGUUAUUUUCUGUGCUCCUCCAUCUGGUUCUGAUGAUUACCCUGAGGAUGUCAGAGUGGCAGCGUCAAAUUGGAAUGGUGAAGGAUCUUUCCUGUUUACAUCAAGCACUGCUCUGUAUGACUGCAGUGACAACAUGAUGUGCAAUGAGUAUUGUCCAUCAGUGCCAAUUGGCAGGAGCCCUCGUACCGAUGUACUUCUGAAAGUGGAAAAUGUUGUUCUUGAGGCAGGAGGUUGUGUUCUCAGGCUAGCUGGACUUUAUAAGAUAGAUAGAGGUGCUCAUGUAUUUUGGUUGAGGAAAGGUACUUUGGACACACGACCAGAUCAUAUCAUCAACCAGAUUCAUUAUGAGGAUGCUGCUUCCCUUGCAAUAGCGAUCAUGAAAAAGAGACUGCGGAAUCAAACCUUUCUUGGCUGUGACAAUAAGCCUCUUUCCAGGUCAUUGUCGACUUUCUGGCAAGAAAUAAUGGACGCUGUGAACAGAAGUGGAAAAUUUGACACGAAGUUUGAAGGCUUUACUGGUACUGACGGUCCAUUGGGCAAGAGGAUGGAGAACUCGAAAACUCGGGCUGAGAUUGGGUGGGAGCCUAAGUAUCCCAGCUUCACUGAAUUCCUUGGUCUCAGCAGCUAGCAAUAUCCUUGCAUAGUGUUCAGUUCUUCUGACUCGAUUGAGUAGCAACCGCAGACCGCAAAGAAGUCGUACUAAGGAACAGCACAGUUGAACUCUUUGCAACAGGCGAGAAACCCAAAGAUUUUUCUCUGAGUUCGCCGCUAGGCUGACAUGUGGGCCCGAUCGUGCCACAGACCCUGCCGUCUCUGCACCGGCCUAUUCUUCUUUGGACCUGCUCCCAUGGAUGGUAGUAAACAAGUCAGUUGCAUAUCCUCCCCUCCUUUUGCGUCCCAAGCAAACCAUUUGCGUCCUUUCUCCACGCUCGAAGCAAACUCUGUCCCUCCUCUUUCUCUCUCUCACACACGCAGAGUCGCAGAGGAGAUUCACAAGUCUCACUCUCGCCGCAAAGAAGAGGCGCACCGCCAUGGGAUCGGGAUCAUGCUGCUGUAUGGGGUGCAACGGCGGCGACGACGACAGCGGAGGCGACGCCGGCGGCGGGCUGGACCCCAAGGGGUUCUUGCUGGCCAUGAUGAUCGCCCUGGUGCUCUUCAUGCUCUGCCACGUACGGCCGCCCCGCCGGAACUCGUACGUCGUGUACCGCUGCUACUGACGGCUGAUGGCCGCCGCCGCCGCCGGGACGCUUGACCGUCAGGAGGACCGAUCCAUGAAGCGAACUUGAAGGUCUCGCCAUGCUCUGGUAACUCGAUUCGCGGGUCCAUCCUCUCCUCUGUAGUAGUAGAAAGCAAGCUGAGUGAGCUCUACAUUUUCUUUUUCUUUUAUCAGCAAUAUAAUUAAUACGGAAGAAGUUUUUAGGCAGAAAAGCCAGUACAUGUUCGAUGGGUGAUGUAUCCAACUGAACUGAUCAAUCGGAAAGAGAGAUCGCACCGCAAGGAGAAUCUGUUUUCGUCUCCUUAUUGAUUCGCCUCGUGUUUGCAUUUUGGUUCCCUUUGCUCUUUAUUUCUAGCUUGUUGAUCAUGUAAAGUAUAUAGUAAUGGAUUUUUGCAAAGAUAUACGAGCAGAUCUUUGUUCUUUUCA